rnacentral:sRNA from 1 species
UCGUUAGAUGUUAGUUUAAAAAGUUGUUAUAAUUUUGUUUGCAAUAUUCGAAAUUUUUGAGAAAAAAAAUUAAGGGGUCAAUGGUUAAUUAUUGCAGAUUGAACAUUUUUGAAGAAAUUCUUUAAAACCUAUCCCGUGCAAGUCAGAUAGAAUUGCAGUGCAAAAUAGUACUGGUAUUAUAUCGAUGUCAUGCGAUAACAGCUACUAAUAACCGAUUAAUUGCCCUGUGCGGUAUUAAAAUUAAACACAACCCCUUUAUAUUUGUGCGACGUUUUGUAUGGAUCGAAAAUAAAACUAAACUACAGAAAUAGUGUGGUGAAUGAUACAACGUAGUGUUUGGUGAAACAGGAAAUUCUAUUUUACUUUCAACCCUUAUUUUAUCAAUUGUGGCGCCUAUCGACUUAUUGAUUUAUAUUUGUCUUAAAUACUAGAAAAGCAAGGCUUUAAUAAUAACCGUAAAUAUGUUCA